GAUGAACGCUGACAGAAUGCUUAACACAUGCAAGUCAACUUGAACUUCGGUUUGGGUGGCGGACGGGUGAGUAACGCGUAAAGAAUUUGCCUCACAGAUAGGGACAACAUUUGGAAACGAAUGCUAAUACCUGAUAUUAUGAUUUUAGGGCAUCCUAGGAUUAUGAAAGCUAUAUGCGCUGUGAGAGAGCUUUGCGUCCCAUUAGCUAGUUGGAGAGGUAACGGCUCACCAAGGCGAUGAUGGGUAGCCGGCCUGAGAGGGUGAUCGGCCACAAGGGGACUGAGACACGGCCCUUACUCCUACGGGAGGCAGCAGUGGGGAAUAUUGGACAAUGGACCAAGAGUCUGAUCCAGCAAUUCUGUGUGCACGAUGAAGUUUUUCGGAAUGUAAAGUGCUUUCAGUUGGGAAGAAAAAA
rnacentral:rRNA from 1 species